rnacentral:rRNA from 1 species
AUUGAACGCUGGCGGCAGGCCUAACACAUGCAAGUCGAACGGUAACAGGAAGCAGCUUGCUGCUUUGCUGACGAGUGGCGGACGGGUGAGUAAUGUCUGGGAAACUGCCUGAUGGAGGGGGAUAACUACUGGAAACGGUAGCUAAUACAGCAUAACGUCGCAAGACCAAAGAGGGGGACCUUAGGGCCUCUUGCCAUCGGAUGUGCCCAGAUGGGAUUAGCUAGUAGGUGGGGUAACGGCUCACCUAGGCGACGAUCCCUAGCUGGUCUGAGAGGAUGACCAGCCACACUGGAACUGAGACACGGUCCAGACUCCUACGGGAGGCAGCAGUGGGGAAUAUUGCACAAUGGGCGCAAGCCUGAUGCAGCCAUGCCGCGUGUAUGAAGAAGGCCUUCGGGUUGUAAAGUACUUUCAGCGGGGAGGAAGGGAGUAAAGUUAAUACCUUUGCUCAUUGACGUUACCCGCAGAAGAAGCACCGGCUAACUCCGUG